CCCUUUUACACGACAUCGUGAGGUCAGUGAAGGAUGACAAUAUACGACAAGGAAUUGACAGAUAUCUGUCGAAACCUGUAUUUUUCUUAAUCAGUGGUUACGCAAAGGAUAAUGGCAUUGUGAUGACAAGCUCACCGCGGUUUGAGGUAUACGAGUGUGAAUUUGGAUUGGGCAAGCCGGCCGGUGUUCUGGUGGGAGGCGCAAAUAUGUUUGACGGGAAGGUAACAUCUUUUCCGGGAAGGGAAGGACAUGGGAGCAUGGAUAUGGUAAUUUGUCUCUCGUCGGAGACGAUGGUGAAACUUGAGGGUGAUUUGGAGUUUCUGAAAUUUAUAGAAGUGAUUUAGAUUUACCGAGGUAAUUUAUAUAAAUACCCUCUAUAUAUGAUUAUAUUUAUAUAGAUAUUAAAUUAACAUUUGUGAUUUGACCAGUUGCCAUAAUAGGGCACAUUUAUGACCCGUUAUGGCGUAGGCUGGCGGCGAAUAACGGUCGUAAAUCGACGAUUCAGGUAUGGAAAUCGCCUAUUUAGGGGCAAACUCUCCGAGUUUUAAUGGGCGAGAUGUGCAGUCUACCAUAUUGCCGAUCUGGACCCUAACUCAGCGAUUUACCCCAAAGUCGGCGAUUUAGUAGUCUAAUCGCGAUUUACGGGUUAACUCUGCGAUUUAACGAUGAGCCUGUUCCGUACUGUGGGAGCCUUCCGGGGGUCCGGCAUAAAGUGACGGAACCCUAGUCCUUGUUGAAAGGCGUUGCUGGGAGUGACUGGUGUAAUCAGGUAUGUCUCACCAGUACUCCCCCCUAAAGAGAGCACAAGAGACAUGCGUGUAUCGCCAGGAAUCAAAUGAUUCAACAAUAUUAAAAGGUCCGACAUUAUAUAGGAGACUGCUUGUUGGAAAAUUGAUUUACUUAUUAAUCGCUAGAGUUGAUAUAACUCAUGCAGUUACAAGUUUGAGUCAAUAUAUACAACAACCAAGGCAAAUGCAUAUGGAUGCAAAACUAAAAGUACUCAGAUACCUAAAAGGUACCCUUGGAAGAGGGUUGAUGUAUAGACAUGAUAAUAAAAUCGAGAUUGUUGCUCAUUGCGACGCAGAUUGGGUAGCAUGCACUAAAACAAGAAGAUUAAUAACAGGAUACUGCGUUUCAUUGAGAAUGUCAUUGGUCUCAUAGAAAUCAAAGAAACAAUCAGUAGUACCAAGAUCAUCUGCAGAGGCAGAAUAUAGGUCAAAGGCGCAUGCAAUAGCCGAGUUAACAUUCAUUCAAUAUUUGUUACAUAAAUUUAAAGUGAAACCUACAGAUGGAGCAAUCUUACAUUGUGACAACGUUUCAGCUAUACACAUAGCAAACAAUCCAAUAUUCUAUGAAAGGACCAAACAUAUAGAGAUUGACUGUCAUUUCAUUAGAGAAAAAAUACAGUCAGGAUCAAUGUGUUUGACCUUCAUUGGAACAAGUAACCAACCAACAGAUUUAUUGACAAAACCACUAGGAGAAAAGGAAAUAACCAAGUUUCUGGUCAAGUUGGAUGUCUCAUAUCCAUACUCUCCAACUUGAGGGGGGUGUUAAGAUUAGUUGGUUUUUGCAGGUAUAAUACAAUUGGAGUCGAGAAAGGGGGGGAAAUCUUCAAGUUGUAGUUCCAGUCCAGAUGGCUAACCCAAGAAUAGUUUAGCCUAAUUUUUAUAUUAAUAGUUAAUGGUUAAUCAUCAUUUGUUGUAAUAUUAGGCCAAAAGGACCAGAUUACUUUUAACUAAAGGGCCAACCCACAACUUAUUCAAUCUUAAUAUAAAAAGAGGGAGUCAUCGAUUUUAGACUCCCACAUACUGUUUGAUCACUUCACUUCUUCCCUUCUGACCGUUCCUCUCCUUCAAACUUCCGCAAACCCUAAUAGGGUUUUUCAAGUAUUAAUGAUUUAAAAUCUAAUAAAUGUAUUGAAUGUCCUUUUGAAAAAAUUACCAUUUAAAAAUAGAGAAAUCUACAAUAAAGUUUCUCUAGAGCCUAGAGGUUAUACAUAUGGAUGUUUGGAAACCAACUCCAAUCACCUCAACCUAUAGAUAUAAGUAUUAUUUACUCAUCAUAGAUGAGUUCUCUAGAUUUACAUGACUAUACUCUUUGGAAACUAAAGAUCAAGUUUUUAGUUGCAUUAAAGAGUUUCAAUUUAUGAUUGAAAAAUCUUUAGAUUCUUCAAUCAAAUCUAUACAACCCGACUUUGGUGGAAAGUUUCAAAAUUCUUUGUUUAAAUCACACUGCAAAUUAAAUAAGAUUAAUCAUAGGUUUUCUUCUCCCUACACACCAAAGCAAAAUAGUUUGGUGGAAAUUAAAUAAUCAUGGUCGGGCACAUUGUUUCCAUUGUCAGGUAUUUUUUUCUCUAAUCAGUGGUUCCUAAAAAGUAUUGGCUAGAAGUUUGUCUAACCUUUGUACGUCUAUAAAUCAAAUAGCACAUUCGUGAAAGAAUAAAAACCCAUGACAUCACAUCUAGUUGCAACUAAAAGGAUUUUAAGAUACAUCAAGCAUACUCUCAUGGUUCCUUAUAGUCACUCACGUUAUCACAUGGAUGGUCAACAUCUGCAUCAAUCAUCGAGCCGUCAGCAAUCCGUCUCUAACUUUAAAGUUUUGUACGACCUUUCAAAUAAAUACCCAAAUUUUUUUAUUAGAAAAUAAGCAAAAUAAUUCGAGUGAGAUUCAACAUGUCUGCAAAGCAAGUAUUCAAAAUCUCAGAAUGCCAGAUCCAGCCAAAGAGUCGACCGGAUUCUUCUCCGAAGAGGUACGAAUUAUCAUCGUGGGACUUGCCGAUGAUCCCCAUCGGACCUAUCCAAAAAGGCCUCCUCUUCCAUAUCUCGUCGGAAAUCUUACCGCAGCAACUCAAUCCGAUCAUCGACAAACUCAAGAGCUCUCUUUCCAUUGUUCUCUCUCACUUCCUUCCCCUAUCCGGCCGUCUCGUCACCGAAACCGUCGAAGGCGGGGGGCUCUUCACGUUUAUACGAUGCGGGGAUGAGGAUACCGGAGCUGGGUUUCACCGAGCGGUUGCAGAUAAGAUUUCUGUUGCUGAUGUACUCAACUCCCGUUACUCUCCCACCUACGUUCGGUGAGGAAUUUGUGGUUAUUUGCAAACACGUCCCUGGAUAAUGGAUAUGAUUUUGUGAUAAUUAAUCCUUUAUUUUUAUGUAAUAAUAUGUAAUUUACAGAGAUUUCUUUCCUUACAACGGGAUGAUUAAUCACGAAGGUCAUCACCUUCCUCUGCUUGCGGUUCAGGUCACGGAGUUAAUCGACGGGAUAUUCCUCGGAUGUACGGUAAACCAUAUUCUCUGCGACGGAACUUCGUUUUGGAACUUCAUGAGGACGUGGUCCGAUGUCGUCUCCGGUAAACUCUUCUUUUCCGAUGACCAAAAACGCCCUUUACUGAUUCAUAACACAUCAUCGCCGAUCAAGUUGCCAUUCCAGAAUCUGGAUACCCUCAUCGAUAAAUCAGAAUCUUCUGUGCCGGAUCUUCAAGAUAAAAUCUUCCAUUUCUCGCCGGCCUCUAUUGCGCGACUUAAAAAACAAGUCAAUUCUGAGAUCGUCACCGUGGACAUAGAGACUGACAAUCGGAAAUCUAAAGCACCAGUGAUCUCAUCUCUCCUAUCCGUAUCUGCGUUAAUCUGGAGAUCGAUCACAAGAGCUCGGUGUUUACCAAAGACUGAACUGGUAAGUUUUAAACUGGCGUGCAAUUACCGGUCAAGAAUGUUACCUCCACUUCCGCCGACAUACUUCGGAAACUGCAUCGGAGCAGUCUCCACCGUCCCCAUCCCUUCCGGCGAUCUUCUCGCACGAAACCUUGGACAGACGGCUUCCCUAUUACACGGCAUCGUGAGUUCGGUGAAGGAUGACGUUAUAAUACGGAAAGAAAUCGACAGAUAUGUGUCGGAACCUGUAUUUUUCUCAAUCAGUGGCUUCGCAAAGAACAAUGGUGUUGGGAUGACAAGUUCACCGCGGUUUGAGGUAUACGAGUGUGAGUUUGGAUUGGGAAAGCCGUUCGGAGUAAUGAUCGGAGGCGCUAAUAUCUAUGACGGGAAGGUGACAUCUUUUCCCGGAAGAGAAGGACAUGGGAGCAUGGAUAUGGUUAUUUGUCUCUCGCCGGAGACGAUGGCGAAACUUGAGGGUGAUUUGGAGUUUCUGAACUUUAUAGAAGUGAUUUAGAUUUACCGAGGUAAUUUAUAUAAAUACCCUUUAUAUAUGAUUAUGUAGAUAUUAAACUAACAUUUGUGAUUUGACCAGUUAUUUCCCAUUAACCCGUAUCAGGUUAGACAGGUUUUCAUAAGAACCUAUAUUCAUCACGUCUGUCCGUCUUCCAGAAGAAUGAGGGCCGUCGAUUUCAACUAGUAGCAACCGGUAGACGGUUGUAGUAGUUCCCAAUGUAUUGCAACCUGUUAAAUAAAAAAAACAAAAUAAUUACUGACAUUGAUUUAGUAGUAUUGACUAGAAUUAAAUGUCAUAGCUUCGAUUGUUUUGAUUAGUCAUUGAUAAUCUCUACAGAUGAGAUGUAGAACAAUUAUAAUAGAGACACAUAAUAUAUCAUCGGAUAAAUUUUAAGUGAAAAUAUACAAAAUAAGAUUCAAACUCUGAAACUAAAAAAUCUUAAUAAUUUCUAAGAUCAAUGAGUCAACCUUAUUUUGUCUCCCAACCGUUUUUCACACUCAGAAACCUCAAAAUUCUUCACACUCUCACUUCUACCCUAUUAUUUCCCUCCCAACCGUUCUUCCUCACCCUCGACCCCUCGAUGACCGUUACUCUCAACCCAUCGAUUUAAUACAGUGCAACUGUCUGACGGUUUUAUUUCUCUCACUAGUCGCGUCUUCGGCUCUCUAUUGCAGCUAUUUCGAAACCCAUUUUUUUGUUAUAAACAAGUAUGUUAUGUAUAAAAUUUUAUGGGUUUACCCUAUUAUCAUCUUCAUUUUGUUUCUUUAUUCCGACAGUUACUUCCAUUCCACAACCGUUUUCUUUUUCAAAAACCCUGGUUGUUGCUAUAAAAAGGUAUUGUGGUUCUAAAAAUAUUUGGGUUCAUCAUCGUCACUCAUUGCUUCUUUUUCUUCUCGUUAUUGUAAAGUUUUUGUUAAGGAUUUUAUUUUCGUGUUUAUUUCAUACGCGUGGAUGUUUUUUUGGCAUUGUUUUUGUAUUUUGUUUACAACAUUUCCUAUUUUAUCAAUUUGUGGGUUUCUCUGUUUUUCUCUGUAGACUGUGGGUUUCUUUGUUUUAUUCAUUUUCUUUUAAACAAUCUGAUGAAGGUGGAACCUGAUCAGAUCUGGUUUCAAAUCGACUUUCUGGGAUCGACUUUCUUAGAGAUCGACGUUGUCCAAAUCGACUUUUUGUCCAGUUCGACUUCUGAGAAAGUAGAUCUCUGGGAAAGUCGACCUUCCCAUGAGUUAACUUGGGACCUCCCCAAACCUAUAUGGGUAUCUCAAUUCAUUUCGGGCUAUCCGAACCUCUAGUUGCUGGUGCGUUGUGACCAAGUUCGGAAUACUGUAUCAUAACAAUCUUUGAUUUUUUAUUUGUUAUAGUUCUGUUAGAAAAUGUCUUCAUCUAGUUCUGAUGAUGCUCCAAAGAAAAAACUUGUAUAAGUUCAAAAAAUUCUCAGCCUCGCGUUGUAUCAUUCACCUCUGAUGGUAAUUUUUUUUAAAUAAAUAUAUUUUAUUCAAGUCUGUGAUUUUAGUAUGUAUUAUGAUUGCUAGUAAGGAUAUGGUGCUAUUCAGAACGCAAUAUGGAUUUGUCACUUAUCCAAAUCAAUUUAUUUUAUCUGGGUUAGAUUUCAAUAUUAUAAAAUAUUUGUUUUGAAUAUCUCCCAUGUUAGUUUGUCAAUUUUAUUUAAUCCAUGUUAGUGUUCAUGAGAAGAGACAGUUUGAUCAAAAUUAAUAGAGUACGCAUUGUGUUUUCUAUUUCCUUUUGCAAUAAUCUUAUUUUCGGAGUUUGUGAUUCUGCACAACUGUUUUCCGAAUUUAACUAUAUAACCUAUAUCACACAACUGACUUAUGUUAAUUAGGUUGUGUUUUAAACCUUCUACUAAAUAUACAUUUUUAAGAAAAUGAUUAUUUACACUACCUACUGUACCCAUUCCUAAUAUGGUACCUGUUUUGUCAUCUGCGAAGAUGACAGUUUUCCCCUUGGGAACUGAAACUAUAUCUCUUAACAGACUUCUGUUUCCAGUCAUGUGACGUGUGCAUCCACUGUCGAAUAGCCGUUUGGACAUAUGAUUGACCUGUGGAUAAGAGAAUGGUUUUUCCUUAGACACCCAUAUUUUUGGGUCUUAAAUGAUUAACAGAAAUAUUCUUAAAAUGUUGCAGUUCUUCCUUAGACACCCAUAUCUCUUUUAUACUCAUUUUGUUAUUGGGAGAAAUCUUUUUAUGUUUAACCUGAGUGUCUUUGUGUGUGGAUUCUCGCACAAAAUAUUUAUUGUAUGAUACAGAAGUGUUUGGAGAAGGAGAUUCAUGUUCAAAACCUAAACCGAACUUUCUUAGUCCAGUGUUGGAUUUUUUAAUCAUGUCAUCAAGCAUCUUGGAACUAUAUGUGAAUUUUGAAAUAUCUUGUUUAUAUUCACAUAUUUUUCUUUCUAAUAUUUCUAUAUGAAAUGCUUGUGAGUUAAUGUUUACUAGCAGAUCUUUUUCGAGUGUCUGACAUUUCUCUUUAUCUUUAUAUCCUAAAAUCGUUUCAUCUUGUUUAACUUAUUUCCUUGUUAAUGAUUCUAGUUUUGUUUCCAGAUUCAGAUUCAUUUCUUUUAGACGUUCUAUUUGAUCUAGAUCUUUUAAAUGUGUGGAAGAAGGAUUCUUCCCUGGUCUCAGCAUGAUCUAAGAGGAUUAAAUUAUGCUCCUUUAGUUGUUCUACAACUUUUUCUCUAGAUUUUAAUUUUUUUGUUAAAUCAGUGUUUUCAAGCCUAAGUUUUUAGUUCAUGAUUAUCAGACGAAUUAGUAUUUUGCAUGCAUUUUUCUUGUAUAGACUUACCUAAUUCCUUUUCUGAUUCAUACCUAGAUACUAGCUCUAAAUAAGACGUUUCUAGUUCUUGAUAAUCAUAAAAACUUACCUGGGUGUCUGAGUCGUUGGCCAUCAGACAUCCAUCAACUUCAGAGUCUUCAUCAGUAUCAGACCAGCUGAUUUGAUGAGCAGUAUCCCUAGACUUUGGAUAGUUAUAUCUUGUGUGUCCAGUUUUGUUACAUCUGUAACAUAUUACUUCCUUUUGUUUUUCUGCUUCCUUCUAUUUAGAUUGGUCUGGCCUGUGUGGCUUGUAAUGUGAACUGCUCGCUUUAGAUUCUUUCCUUUUCUUGAUCAGCUUAUAUAGUUUGGCAGUGAUAAGUGCAAGCUCAUCUUCAUCAGAUUAUGCCAUCAGGUUCCCAACUAACUCCACUACACGAAGCUUGUUCAAGUCGUGGGCUUCUUGGAUGACAUUUCUUUUCGAAUCAUAUUUGUCAGGAAGGCUUUUUAGAAUUUUUCCAACUUGAUUCUUUUCGCUGAUAGGCUCACCCAUACCAGCUAGAUCGUUGACGAUGUUGAUGAGACUUUUGUUCAUCUCAAAAAUAGUUUCUCCUUCUUUCAUAGUGAAGUUCUCAUAUUCCCUAUGAACAUGUAGAAGUUUGUUCUCCUUCACAUGAGAUGUGCCUUCAUGAAUGGUUUCCAACUGUUUCCAGAUGUCAUGAGUUAUGUCGAACCCUCGGAUGGAACUGUACUCAGAUUCAUCUAAUGCCCUAUAAAGUGCAUUCAUUGCCUUUGCGUUGAAUCUGCACAUUUGUUUGCCGAGAAUGGUCCAUUCGACUUCUUUUGUAGUUGGAGGCUCAUAUUCUUCAUGAAUGACUCUCCAUCUCACUGUGUAGCGAGACAUCAGAUGUAUUCUCAUUUUUUUCUUCCAAAAUUCAUGCCUGGUUCCAUCGAAGAUCGGAGGUUUGUUUGAUGUAAAACCCUGAUAUCCUUGUUCUUCUUGUGCCAUGUUAGAAACAGAUGUGAAACUGUUAAUAACCUACUUGGCUCUGAUACCACUUGUAGGAUCUUGAUCAGAGGCUUGGGGGGGGGGGUAAUAGCCUCUUUUCGUGAUUUCUCAGAAGAUUUGCGGAAUACCUGAGAAUAUAAGUUAGAGACAAGGAUAUAUAUAAAGGUUGUCUGUUCUUUGUAAGUUUACCGCAAUAUACAAAUACUGAGUCCACUUAUAAGAUUGUGGUUUUUAUAUAACUGUAGUAUAUGAAUAUUAAAUUAUAUAGACACACGUUUAAGAGCAAGCAAACAGAUGACUAAGUAUAUAUUCUAACUUGAUAAAAACUGCUUUUUAACCUAACUGUAGUAUAUGAAUACCAAGUUCUCUUAUUAGCGAAUAAAUAAUAUAAGUUAAAAUAUAUAAGUAUAUGUGACUAGGUAACUGGAUAUGUAUAUUUGUCUAAUAAUAACCUCAGUCAAAUACCAGAUAACUGGAUGAGGGAUUUGUAGGAAAAUAGUCAACCUCAAUCUAUGACCAUAUAACUAGAUGAGGGAUCUCUUUUUAGUUGUUUUUUAUCUUGUUAAACUUUUAAAAAUAGAAAAGCGGAAAGUAAAGGAGACAUAAAGAUUUUUAUACUGGUUCACCCAAACAAGGACUAAUCCAGUUCCGAUGAAACACGGAGGUCACUAGCCUGAAGGUAAUGACAAAACUUCUGCCAAAUUUUAAGGCUAAACGCCUGUGAACCACCUAAGAGUAUUCAAGAACUUUUAAAAACCUCUGCCAAGCUUUAAGGCUAAACAUUUGUGAACCCUCUAAGAGUAUUAAGGGACUCUUAAAAACCUCUGCCAAGCUUUAAGACUAAAUGCUUGUGAACCCUCUAAGAGUAUUAAGGAACUCUUAAAAAACCUUGAACCUUUAAGGCAGAUUCAACCUAAGAGUUUUCCUAGAAACUCUAUAGAACCACACCGAGUUUUAUGGUUGAAUUCGUUGAAUCUUUCAAAUGUUGAUGUUGAGACGCACCUCUUACAACACUUGGACUACUUACAAGAUGUAGAGUUUUUUCUUCUAACACACUUUCAACAUACACAAGAGGGGAAGAAGAAGAAGUUGAAGAACUAGAACACACAACCUUGAGAGCAACUUUCACACAAAGCUUGAACAAGAGCUAAAGCUUGAGCAAGAGCAAGUGAGUAAGAAAGUAGAGUUUUGAUCCAAAGAGAGCUUUGACAAGAAUGGCAAGUGAUGGCUUUAGCUCUUGGGUGUGCACCUCCUUUUAUAGUAGACGUUGGAGACAUGAAGGUAAUUUCUUCAACUCUUAAACACCUAGGAAGAAGAGAUUAAAAAACCUUCAUUGAAUACUCCAUUGGCGAUUUUCAUUGGUAGAGAGCUUCACUUGAAUUUGAAUUUUCAUCUUGGGAUUUUGUGUAGCAUUAAAUCCAAGAUCUUGAUUGGAUUUGAUCUUGGGAGAUUGAGCCCUCACACGUUUUCCACUCUCCAUUUUUGAACUCUUUAUCUAGGAUUUUGUGUAGUAUUGAAUCUAAGAUCCUUGUAGUUAAUAUGUUGGAUAUGCUAUUGGAAUCUUUAUCAUGAUUGCACUUCUACACGUUUUUUACAUCUUGGGUCCAUUUGAAGCUUGAAUGAAUAGUUGUAGUUCUCACACCUUGUUGAUUAACCUUUAAGACAUUAAUCAACUUAAAACAUGAGUUAAUGUAAGCAAGUAAGUGUGCAUAAUUAAAUCCAAGCUUCAAUAAUUAACUUGAUUAAUAAUAGAGAUUUGUUUGAUGAAAAUAAUUAAGACUAAUCUCAUUUUAGUUUAAUCAAAUAUCAAGUCAAUUUUAUCUACAUGAGUUCAAUAGAUUUAUCUAUGUAACUUUAACUCAUAUAUUUUUCUGUAAAUAAAAUUAAUUAACAACUAAAUAUGUCAUUGAGAAUUUUAUUUCUACAAUACUAUCUCUUGAGGGGGAGUAUCACGAACUCUCCUCGACAUUUCUGUCGCUCCGACCGGAUGUCGUCACAUCUCGGGGGGUAGUAUCACAGAUUCUCUCUGGCACUUCUGUCGCUUCGGUCAGAAAUUGUCACGUUUUAUCCAGGUACUCAAGGGGAGAGUAUCACAAACUCUCCCCGACACUUCUGUCGCUCCGGCCGGAAGUUGUUGAAUAUGAGCACGGUAAAUCUGUCGCUUUAGCCAGAUUUACUGAGAAUUUAUUCGAACAAAAGGAAGAGCCGGAAGUUAUUGAAUAUGAGCACGGUAAAUCUGUCGCUUUGGUCAGAUUUACUGAGGAUUUAUUCGAACAAAAGGAAGAGUAACACGAAAGGUAACAUUGCACGAUAAGUUCCAUAAGUCAAUAAAAUAUGCGUUUUAAACUGAUUCAGUUGUUUUACAGGAUGUUUUCUUUUUUUGCAGGUAUGAUUCUGUCGCUUUUGACAGAAUCAGAUCUAUUUUGUCGCUUUGACCUCGAUAGAUCAAGGAUCAUUUUGUCGCUUUGGCCUUAAUGAUCCUAACCCAUCAUUCUGAUUAUUUGCAUUGAUGGGUUAACCGUCAUUGCGAACAUAAAGUCGCUCUUGAUCAGGGUUGACUAUAAACAUUAGUUUUAUCGCUUUGGCUAGAACUAGAUUCUGCCGCUUUGGCCAGAAUCAUAUCUAUUUUGUCGCUUUGGCCUUAAUAGAUCAAGGUCCAUUUUGUCGCUUUGGCCUUAAUAGAUCAAGGUCCAUUUUGUCGCUUUGGCCUUAAUGGACCAAGAAUUAUUUCGUCGUUUUGGCCUUAAUAAUUCUCUCAUCUUAUCGCUUUGGCCUUGAUGACACACCAAAUGUCGCUCUUCAUCAGAGUUAGAUUAUAAACACGUAGUUCUGUGGCCUAGAACUAGAUUUUGUCGCUUCAGCUAGAAUCAGUCCAUUUUGUCGCUUUGGCCUUAAUGGAUCUAGAAUCAUUGUAUCGCUGUGGCCACAAUGAUUCGAUCACAUCUUGUCGCUUUGGCCUUGAUGCGGAUCACACACACAACCUUGUUUGGAGGGGAUACUGACGAUAUCCGCAUGUUUCUUUUGCUCUCUUCAGGAGGGAUCGGAGUACUGGUGAGACAUUAUGCCUGAUUACGUCAGUCACUCCUAGCAACGUCCUUCAACAAGGACUAGAGUUUCGUCGCUUUAUGUCGGACCCCCGGAAGGCUCCACGGUUGUGGAACAAAGGUCGUCGUCAAGUCCUCAAGUUAACCCCGUGAGUAACCGAUUGGGCUAUCAAGUAGCCGAUUCCAGUGGUGAAUCGUCGAGUCAAGGUCGUAUUAGUCAGCACUGGUAGGCUGCCAACAAGUAACGUACACGAAUCGGCGAUUCAGGUGGGAAUCGGCUAUUCGCCACCAGAAUUGGCGAUUUGGUAGCCCAAUCGACAAUUCAUGGGGUUAACUUGAGGAUUUGACGAUGACAUUUGUUCACAACCGUGGAGCCCUCCGAGGGUCCGGCAUAAAGCGAUAGAACCUUAGUCCUUGUUGAAAGGCGUUGAUGGGAGUGACUGACGUAAUCAGACAUGUCUUACCAACAGUAAACUUAGAAAGAACAGACAAUCUUUUUAUAUAUCCUUGUUUCUAACUUGUAUUCUCAUGCAGGUAUUUCGUAAAUCUACUAAGAAAUCACGAAAAGAGACUAUAACCCCUCUUAAGCCUCUGAUCAAGAUCUUACAGAUAAUUUAUUUGUUUAUUACUGUAUUAUGUUGUAAGAACAAUUAACGUAUAGGUAAAAAAAAAUAGAUUAUAUAGCAAAUUUAGGAUACAUAUUGCCGAGUAUAACUGGGCUAGUUUUCUUGGAAAUGUCUUAUUUGACAGGAUGAAGAAAUGCCGCGACAGCAUUCUAAGUCGCAAGAGAACCAACGAGCCUUCCAAAGUCUACAUGAAUGAAUGGUUGUGUAGUAUGUUUAAUGGUAAAUUUUGAAUAUUUAUUUUUACUAUUUAAAUUCAUUUAAUGAAUAUGUAUCCAUUUAGGUAUGACUUUUCAAACAUCCUUUUGUUGCUAGCCCAAAAGAAGAAAUUGUGGCUAACGAACCCUAUUUUAAGAAAAAAUGGGAUGGAAAAUUAACCUAUUUGAAAUAGAAGCUUCUCACUGAUUCGGAGGUAAUUUUAUUCCUGAAGAUUUGUCAUAAAAAGUGUUUUAAUUGUGUGUUAAAAUAAGCAUUGAGUAUGAUUUAACAAAUUCCUCCAGCUUGGAUUUCGUCAUUUGCAUUGAGACAACACUGUAGCCUGUAGCUGUAGGUAAUAAUGAAGUAAAUGAACGUAAUAAAUUAAGAUCUGAUAAUUUUUGUAUCUCUCAUUAUAGACUAAUUUAUGACCGGUCAGGUCUCAAAUGGAUCCGUAUUGGACCCUAACCCUAGUUACAUUACGGCAAUAACUAAAUAUUACUGAUUCAAACAAAUUAACCAAAUAAUUUAUUGAACUUACUAUACUUCUUCUUCCCUUGAGAUUUAUCAUUUGUUAUUCCGAGGUCCCGUUCUGCCGUCGAAACAUGCAUGUAAUGUGGACCUUCAGUGGGACUAGUAGCCCUUAGAGUCGGUGGGUUUUGGUUGUAGCGGCUUUGUUAAAUCACAUGGACGGUCAAAAUCUACAUCAAUCAUCGAGCCGUCGGCGAUCCGUCUCUAACUUUAAAGUUUUUUACGGCCUUUCAAAUAAAUACCCAAAAAAAUUUAUUAGAAAAUAAGCAAAAUAAUUCGAGUGAGAUUCAACAUGUCUGCAAAGCAAGUAUUCAAAAUCUCAGAAUGCCAGAUCCAGCCACAGAGUCGACCGGAUUCUUCUCCGAAGAGGUACGAAUUAUCAUCGUGGGACUUGCCGAUGAUCCCCAUCGGACCGAUCCAAAAAGGUCUCCUCUUCCAUAUCCCGUCGGAAGUCUUACCGCAGCAACUCAAUCCGAUCAUCGACAAACUCAAGAGCUCUCUCUCCAUUGUUCUCUCUCACUUCCUUCCCCUAUCCGGCCGUCUCGUCACCGAAACCGUCGAAGACGGGGGGCUCUUCACGUUUAUACGAUGCGGGAAUGAGGAUGCCGGAGCUGGGUUUCACCGAGCGGUUGCAGAUAAGAUUUCUGUUGCUGAUGUACUCAACUCCCGUUACUCUCCCACCUACGUUCGGUGAGGAAUUUGGGGUUAUUUGCAAACACGUCCCUGGAUAAUGGAUAUGAUUUUGUGAUAAUUAAUCCUUUAUUUUUAUGUAAUAAUAUGUAAUUUACAGAGAUUUCUUUCCUUACAACGGGAUGAUUAAUCACGAAGGUCAUCACCUUCCUCUGCUUGCGGUUCAGGUCACGGAGUUAAUCGACGGGAUAUUCCUCGGAUGUACGGUAAACCAUAUUCUCUGCGACGGAACUUCGUUUUGGAACUUCAUGAGGACGUGGUCCGAUGUCGUCUCCGGUAAACUCUUCUUUUCCGAUGACCAAAAAGGCCCUUUACUGAUUCAUAACACAUCAUCGCCGAUCAAGUUGCCAUUCCAGAAUCUGGAUACCCUCAUCGAUAAAUCAGAAUCUUCUGUGCCGGAUCUUCAAGAUAAAAUCUUCCAUUUCUCGCCGGCCUCUAUUGCGCGACUUAAAAAACAAGUCAAUUCUGAGAUCGUCACCGUGGACAUAGAGACUGACAAUCGGAAAAACCGGUGAUCUCAUCUCUCCUAUCCGUAUCUGCGUUAAUCUGGAGAUCGAUCACAAGAGCUCGGUGUUUACCAAAGACUGAACUGGUAAGUUUUAAACUGCUGUGUAAUUACCGGUCAAGACUGUUACCUCCACUUCCGCCGACAUACUUCGGAAACUGCAUCGGAGCAGUCUCCACCGUCCCCAUCCCUUCCGGCGAUCUUCUCGCACGAAACCUUGGACAGACGGCUUCCCUAUUACACGGCAUCGUGAGUUCGGUGAAGGAUGACGUUAUAAUACGGAAAGAAAUCGACAGAUAUGUGUCGGAACCUGUAUUUUUCACAAUCAGUGGCUUCGCAAAGAACAAUGGUAUUGUGAUGACAAGCUCACCGCGGUUUGAGGUAUACGAGUGUGAGUUUGGGUUGGGAAAGCCGGUCGGAGUAUUGAUCGGAGGUGCUAAUAUAUAUGACGGGAAGGUGACAUCUUUUCCCGGAAGAGAAGGGCAUGGGAGCAUGGAUAUGGUUAUUUGUCUCUCGCCG
rnacentral:lncRNA from 1 species